GCAAGUUCAAGACUGGAGAGAGGAGUCUGUAGGACAGGACACCUGUCGCCUACACCUUCAAACGUCUUCUAUUUUCGUUCAGUUAAGCAUUGCAAUGACAACCGCUGCUGAUGUUCUACGCAGAAUAUGUGUUUCGGAGGAGAACUACAAGAUUGCAUAAGUCAAAAGAAAAAUUCCAGGAUUGAAAGCACAAUAAAUGGACAAUUAGAUGCUGCUGCUCUGUCGUCAUAUAUUCCAGCCUGGUGGAGAUCAAUCAAAAAAAAAAGACUUUCCCUGUUCCCUAAACUUGGGGGGGGUGAGCAACAAAGAUUCUGAUCAAGGUUUGAGGGCAAUCCGUUAGACGUUGGUGGGCAGGCAGGGAUCAUUCACUGCUUUAUUGCCCAGCAACAUUCAGGCAAAAUACAUUGCAUGAACAUUUGUUUUGGAGUUGAGAAUGUAUUGAAUAAAUACUUUGGUGUAUUUCUCUGUUCUUUUCCUUUCGGCUUUUCCCUUCAGGGGUGCCCACAACGAAUCAGUUGUCUCCAUCUAACCCGGUCCUCUAAUAAAUUUUAGUAUUGGAAGUUCUACCUCAUGUGAAAUUAAUUCCAAAAGUGUUUGUAAAUGUUUUUCUUUUUCAAAAGGUACAUUAAUUUUUGCCAACUGAUCGUGUCUUUACUGCUGAGUCAGGUAGUUCAGUACUGCUCUGCAUGAUGCAUUUCUCUGUACUGUCACUGUCAGUUGAGCCAAUGAGGCAAACUUAUGAAUAUUUCUGCCAGUUCUUGCAUGUUAGCAGUCUACAAUGUGUGAAAUAAUGAUAAUACCAAGUUUCACAGUUUUUAUUUGCCAUUUGCUAUUAAAUUUAGAAAUAGUUUACAUAUGUGUUACAAUACAAUGUGUAAUAUAUAGAUUAAUUUGUUUUUGAUUGAGAGACUGCUUGAUAAAAUAUUAGUAUUCAAAAAUUAUUGUUACUAUUAAUUGUUUGGCUGCAAUUUAAAGAAAACAAGUUGACAGUAAAU